UGGUAAUAUCACGUUAAAAUGCCGGUUCCCGUACGAUCACCGAAAUUAAACAACGUAGAGCCUGGUCAGUGAUUGGAUGGGUGACUGCUUGAGAAUACCAGGUGCUGUAAG